rnacentral:rRNA from 1 species
CACCGCGGUUAUACGAGAGGCCCAAGUUGACAAAAAUCGGCGUAAAGAGUGGUUAAUAGAAUAUUAGACUAAAGCCGAACACCUUCUAAGCCGUUAUACGCACCCGAAGGCAGGAAGACCCCCAACGAAAGUGGCUUUAAUUAAAAUGACCCCACGAAAGCUAUGACA